AGCGAACGCUGGCGGCAGGCCUAACACAUGCAAGUCGAACGGAUCCUUCGGGAUUAGUGGCGGACGGGUGAGUAACACGUGGGAACGUGCCCUUUGGUUCGGAACAACUCAGGGAAACUUGAGCUAAUACCGGAUGUGCCCUUCGGGGGAAAGAUUUAUCGCCAUUGGAGCGGCCCGCGUCUGAUUAGCUAGUUGGUGGGGUAAAGGCCCACCAAGGCGACGAUCAGGAGCUGGUCUGAGCGGAUGAUCAGCCACAUUGGGACUGAGACACGGCCCAAACUCCUACGGGAGGCAGCAGUGGGGAAUCUUGCGCAAUGGGCGAAAGCCUGACGCAGCCAUGCCGCGUGAAUGAUGAAGGUCUUAGGAUUGUGAAAUUCUUUCACCGGGGACGAUAAUGACGGUACCCGGAGAAGAAGCCCCGGCUAACUUCGUGCCAACCGCCGCGGUAA
rnacentral:rRNA from 1 species